GAGUUCAAGAGUACGUGAAACUGCUUAGAGGUUAAGCCCGAUGAACCUGAAUAUCCAUUAUAGAAAAUUCAUCACUAAUACUAUUAUAUUUAUAAUAUUAUAGGAAUGGUGUGCAAUUUUUCUAUAUAAGGACAUUGUAAUCUGUUAAUGUAAUAAAUAUUUAUUAAAAGUUCUUAUACUUUAGUUUAUUCAAAUUAGUUAUUUUCGAAUUUCUAACAUAGAAUAAAUGUAUUUGAAUUAAUAAAUCAUUGACAGAUUUAUUUAUAUAUAGUGCUUAAAUUUUUUUCGAAAAAUUUUAAAAUAAUAUAAUUAAUUUAAUUUGAUUAUAUUUAAUUUUAUGCGCUUAUAUGAUUUACAAUGCGAUAGAUUCAGGAUACCUUCGGGACCCGUCUUGAAACACGGACCAAGGAGUCUAACAUAUGUGCAAGUCAUUGGGUAUUUAUAAUAAAACCCAAUGGCAUAAUUAACUUAACUGUUUUUUAAUAUGGGAUUAGUUUAUUAUUUAUUAUGAAUUAUAAAUUCAAUCCCGGGGCGUUCUAUCAGUUAUGUAUAAUAAUAUUUAUAUUAUUUAUACCUCUAACUAGAGC
rnacentral:rRNA from 1 species